UCGCGUGGCACCCACUCGCGUCGCAACCUCCGCCGCGCGCGUCGCCCCCGCCCCGACGCGCGGCGCCACCCUUCGAGUCUCCGCCGAGGGUAAGCGCCGGAACACUAAUCGAUCCAGAUCCCUCUCCGUCCACGCGCGCGCUCGAUCCUCCCGACGCCCGUCGCCGUCGACGCCGCCCGCGCCGAACAACCGGAGCCCGCGGGUGACCUGGCACGAAAACAAACCGCGACCAACGAGUCAGCACGCGCCAGUCUCAUCCCGAUAUUUCCCCGCCGCGUCGCGUCGCGUCGCGCCCUUCCCCUCCCUCCCGUCGCCGGCCGCUGACCCGUCCUCUCCCCUUCCCCGCCGCCUGCUCCAUCUCAGCCUCCGAGAAGAACCUCGAGGUGAUGCGCAAGUUCAGCGAGCAGUACGCCAAGGGCAGCGGCACCUACUUCUGCAUGGACAAGAGCGUCACGGCUGUGGUGAUCCAGGGCCUCGCGGAGCACAAGGACACGCUGGGGUCGCCGCUGUGCCCGUGCCGGCACUACGACGACAAGGAGGCCGAGGUCGCUAGCGGGUUCUGGAACUGCCCUUGCGUGCCCAUGAGGGAGCGCAAGGAGUGCCACUGCAUGCUCUUCCUCACCGAGGACAACG
rnacentral:lncRNA from 1 species